rnacentral:tRNA from 1 species
GCCUGGGUGGCUCAGUUGUUUGAGCAUCUGACUUUUGAUUUCAGCUCAGGUCAUGAUCUUGGGGUCGUGGGAUUGAGCCCCACUUGGGGCA